CUCACCUUUUGUUGAUGUGCCUGCAGUGACUGCUGAUGUGCCAGGAGGGCACAGGCAGAACAGCCAGGAAAGGGAGGAUGGAAGGUCAAGGUCUGCAAAAGAAAAGCUGGUGAUGUGCAUCCUCCACAUAGAGGGCCUGGGGAGGAACUGGGUUAAAACUAGACUUGGAUUGAUUAUGGGGUUGCUGUUUUUUUGAUGUUUAUUUUUGACUCUUUGGUAGGAAACGAAUAAAUAGAACAGUUUUGAUGGAACAAGAACAUAUUUUACCCUUUUCUCCUGUUCUCUCAUCUGCCCAGCUACUGCCCUACCUGAAGAUAGCAAAAUCAGUGAUGACAUGAAGGUCACAACUCUGUAUUUAUACAGCCCUGCGAUGUAGAUUAUCACAUUUCUUGUUUUACAAAUGAAGAAACAGACAAACAAAGAGGUUGGAAACUUGUUUAAGGAAGCAGUGUGCUCUGCUGGGCACCACAAUGUACGGUUCAGACAUUUAAAGCCUUACUCAGCCCAGUUUCCUCUCCAUUUGCCCCCUGGGGAAG